UACCUCCACUAACUUUCAUUUGCAAAGCCGUGCAAGAGACUUUUUUUCUUUUUCUUUUUUUUAUGUCAGUGAAAUAUCAAAGGAAUAAAGCAAUUGAGAUAAUAUAUCUAUAUUAAAUAAUAUGAAUUACAGUUACAUUAAAUCAUAUAGCCUAACUGUAAUCUUGACUGGCUAAAAUAUACCAGUAGUGAAGAAGAGCAUAUUAUCUGAAAAGCCAUGCUGAAGUAACCAGAAAUGCACCUUCUUCACUUCUGCCCAAUUGAUCUGUUCCUUAACUGCACACAUCCAGUAACUUUAAGACCAAAAAAAACAUUGUUACUCGUGUUUUGUUUGUGUCUUCUGUUUCUGUAGCUUCCAAGUUGUGAAAACACACCACUGAGUUCAAUGCCCUGUUGUGAUUUUGGUGUGAACUCCCCUUAUGCAUGCUAUGUAUCUAAUAAUCUAAUGAUUAUGUAUCAGAAUCUGGAAAGGAGAUUGUACUCCUAAUAUUCAGUACAACAACAAACCUUGUAGCCUGUUUAAACUGGACUUUAAAGUACUCCCCUUAAUGUACUGUAUGUGUUUAGUGGAACAGACAUAUUAUUUUACACUUCUGUAGAUUUCAUCAAAUGAAUUGCAUGGAAUGCUGUAAUGGUUUGCAAUGCAACAUGAUCUAAAACAUUGCAUUUUAACCCAAGGGGACCAGCAGGUUUAUUCUGUUUGCAUGUGCUUUCCCCUAGACUCUGGCUGCCCUAACAAGAAAUUCAAUAAAUCUGCUUCCAAACCAUCUUGCACAAGCUUUGCAUGUCCAGUCUGGGCCUGAGGAAAUUAACAAGCGAAUAGAGCACACCAUCGACUUACGGAGUGGCGAUAAAUUGAGAAGAGAGCAUAUCAAGCCUUUUUCACUGAUGUUUAAAGACUCCAGCCUGGAGCACAAGUUUUCAGAAGAUGGGACUGAUCUAGAGGUCAUAAUGGACACUGUCAUGAUGCAGGUGUUACAGUGCUUCAGUGAUUAUAUUUCAUUGCUGGAAAAUGCCUACAUUGAGCAAACUCUUCUUCUGAAAACAAUAAAAGCUACUUGCAGAUUUCAUUUGUUGUGUAGUACAAGCAGUUUUCCAUCAUAUGACAGGUUGCUUUGGCACAAAUGGUGAUUGAGCAUAUUAAUAUACUGACACUUCUAUUCAAAAUAGAUAUCUAUAUUUACAUAGAUAUGUGCCUCUCAUUUACUAGCAGAAUCAAUCUGGUCUCCUCUAGUCAGCCACUGUUUAUUUCAAGUCAAAAUUAAUGUCAACUCUUUGGUUUAAACACCACUUUUUAACAUCUGCUUUUAAGAGGUAAAUGUUGUUCUUGUUUUUGUUGCUUCUCAGCAGCAAUAUGAUCUCACUAAUUUCUGUUUUAGUCCACAUCCAUAUAUAAGCUUUAAGCUAAAAAGAGAAAGGCAGGCAGGGGGAAAACUUUACUUGCAAGCUGAGUGGGAGAGGUGUUGCAUAGAUCUCAAAUGAUUUCAUUGACUUGCAUGCUAUUGAAAUGCAGUAACAGCAGGCCUAUGAUAUGAUGUGCACUUAAACUGAAAAGAAAAUAAAAACAAAAAAAUAAUUGCA
rnacentral:lncRNA from 1 species